rnacentral:lncRNA from 1 species
AGUCCUAAAUCCCCAAGUCCCCUACUGUUCAUUCCCUUCUUCACCUCAUCUGCGUUCAAGCCCGCAAAAUUACGGGCGAGUGAAAUUAAUUUCACUCACGCAUCCUUAUUUCACUACGUCAUCAAGAUUCUAAUUAAUUCUGGCAACAUUUCUCUCCCUCACAUGCUCACACUCUUAUGGUUGUUACUGAUGAAUGGGAGCCACAGAUUGGGAGAAGAAGGCUCAAUCUUUGCCUUUCAUUUUUCACGAACCAACCUAUAUAGAGGGACUUCUCUUCAGAGGUAAGGGGGGAUUUUUUCUUUUUGGCAAAAAAAAAUUCAGAGAGAGUGAAAAAGUGAAAAGUUUCCUGUGAGAUGGUUUUUUUCGAAGUUGGUUUUCUUGGACGAGGCUAAUGAAGUUUAAGAGAAGCGUAGAUAAAAUUUUUUCUUCUCAUUUUUCUAAAUACGGAUUUGAGUUCUAAGAAGAUAAAAUUGAAGUUCAAGCUGGGGUUUACUGUCGAGUCGCUGAGUUUGUUGCUGUCUGAGCUUCUGAUUUCUACUUAUUAGCUUCCAGCUUUCAUUGUAUUCGAAGCUCGAACAAAUUUAAACAAGUUGUUACUGAUUCAGGUGCCUUUUUAUUUGUAUCUCUUGUAGCCCGUUUUUGGCAUUUGAUUCAGAACCAUAUCGAGAAUACGAGUUCAACUGGGUUGGAACUAUUUGAACCUUGGUGAUUGUUGGUCGUAG